CAGCAUUUUGGUCCAAAGCAUUCUUGUUCUGGCAUCAGCUACCAUCAUAUCCAUGGUUUUAGUUUUGAUUCUAUGCAAAGUUCACAACAGUCAGCAUGAAGGUUCUGUUACCGAUCACACAGUAAACCAGGCUGCAAGUGAGAAAGCUUUACAAUAUGCAGACGGUGGAUUCACUGAAAAACCAACGCAGAUGAAAAAAGACCCUGAAAUUUACUCCCAUGUCAUUUAUUACUAACAAAACUCACUAAUAAAUUAAUAAAAAACUAAACAGAACUGAUUAAAAUUGUGUGUGAUAUCCAGUGGUAGGAAAUGAAGAACAUUAUUGAUCUGGGUCUGUAGUUGCAAUGACCAAUAAUCAAUUUAUGCUUAUAUAGUAAUCAAAUGAUACUAAUAAUGAGAUUAGGACACUUUUUAAAAUUUGUGAGAUUUAAAGGAAAUUAUGUGCUAUGAUUACAUUUUUUAUCCAUCACCUUUUUCCUAUGUAUCUGUGAACAGGCUGUUUAGCUUUUGUUUUUUGUUUAAUUUUUCUAUCUGCACUCUUUGUAUUUAGUAAUGCUAAAAUGUUUUUCUUCCCAUUUGUA